rnacentral:tmRNA from 1 species
GGGGGCGUUUUGGAUUCGACGCCGGUUACAAAACCCGAGGUGCAUGUCGAGAGGGUAUAGACUCUCGUAAAUCAAUCUAUGCAACUUAAAUAGUUGCCAACGACGAAACGUACGCUCUCGCUGCCUAAUUAGGCGCAGCGAGCGAUUGCCACCGGGAUGCCCGUAAACCAGUGAUCGCAAUCGUCAUAUAGAACGGGAUCGUAGGAAGGCACGUCCGGGGCCGACCUCCUAAAACUUACCGGACUCGCCUGUUGUACCCUGCCCGUCGGGCGGCACCAGGCUAAACAAUAGACGACGCUAAACAUGUAGAGCUGAAGGCAGCGGACUGACGGACGGGGGUUCAACUCCCCCCGCCUCCACCA